UUAGAAAACACAGUGAGACUCACAAACACUCGACAUGUGAUCAAAGCAGCUUCACGGCUCAGUGUCUGAAGCAUCUGGACAGAUGUUGGGAAUCCUGGAAUGUAUCUUUACUCUUCGUUUUCCUGUUAACUGCCUGUUAGCUGUUAGCAUGCUGCCUGUAGCGACCUCAUGUCUUUAUUAUCUUCUGAGUAAUUCAAAUUCUCAUGUUCACGUCGCGCUCAGUGGAAAAACACCAGAGUUCGGUGGAGCUGUGGAGGCCGGAGGGCAAGAAGGCGAACCAUCAACACAUUCAGACGCCGCGGGGGGUGAGGCGUCACGUCACAGUGAUGGAAGAGCAACUGGAAACAUCUGAUCGUUCCUCCUGAAGGUGCGACGUCCUAAUGAGCCUCUGAUGAUAAACUGUGACUUUAACGUGACGUGUGUGUAGUUUUAUAAAGAUUUCCUGUGUGUGUGUAUCUGUUUAUAAUCUGUAUUUUGUUGAUGGAGGGAAGAACAACAUGUCAGUUCUUCAGGUUACCUUCUUGUAGUUUGAAUCAGAGUUAAAUAUCUUGAUUCUGUCCCGAGUUGUUCGCAGAAUCAGCCAAAACAAACACAUAAUCAACAUGUUACAGGCACAGUGAUCACAUCCAUCAUCUUCUUAAAGAAGCCGGUGUUAGGACGAGACAAGACUCAGACUGAUUAUGAGCCUCUGAUGAUCCGUAGAUGAUAAACUGUGAGCUAUCUGUUCAGUAUCUGUAUCUCGAUGAUGCCACAGUUUGUGUGAUCUCUCGUCACAUCUCUGUGGUUCAUGGCAGCGUCGACAAACAUCAACAUCUGAAGACAAACAGCUCCACGUCUGAAGACAGGAACUGAGAACACGCUGGUGUUACACGUGUCGGAAAUGCGAGAAGGAGCUCCUGCAAAUGUUUGUGGGUUUCUGGUCGAGCGGGUCAGAACCAGGCUGGCCGGCUGCCGUCGAGUCCACAGAGAUGAAGAGAUGCAGAUAAACUGCAGCCGCGCUGUGAAACUACAGAGACACUGGAAACACCUACGCUUGUUCAGUCACACGAACGCAGCGGCCCAGAGACUUUACUCCUCUUCCUCCUCCUCUUCCUCCUCCUCCUGAUGUCACCGGCGUUUUGACACCAGAUGUCGUCUGUGUGGAUUUCAUUUAGUCCAAACAGAAAAACUUCACUCGAGGAGACAGAAAUGUGUUUCCUGUCAGAACCAGAACACUUGAGAUCUGACAAACAUCUGUACGUCGCCGUGGUGACCGACGACGAUGAUGAUGAUGAUGAUGGCCAGCAGAAAGUGCAUGAUGACCUCACACUGGCUCAUGUGUCAUUUCACAGGAUUUACUGAGCAGAGUUCGUCUGUAAUCUGCAGCAGAGAUGUUUCUACAGAUUAUCUUUACUGUUUAAUCUGAUCUGAGGUCUGUUUGGAGUCUAACAUCCGUUUUUUAUCUGUUAAUGGAAGCAAACGUGGCGACAGCUUAUCUAUACUUACAUCUGAGUCUGAUUUAAAUCUGAUUUUUCAUUGAAAUUUGCUUCUUUUACACAUAAACUGUAGAUUUAAUCUGAUUUAAGCACUUUUCAUUGAUAUUUUACAGCUUUUACACCACAUUUCACUCACACAGAGCAGUUUACAGUGUAAUAUAAUUCCUUUAACGUGUGUUUUCACUCUGUAUUAUUGUACUUUUACACUGUAAAGACGAACAUGCAGUGAAUCUUUUACAUUUUGGUUGAUUUCAGUGUAUUUUUUUAUACAUUCUGUUUGUUAUGCAUCAUAUUAGACCUACAAACUCCAGUUGACAGCAGCUACACUGUUUUUUCUCUCUUUACUUGUGUUUGGACUGGACGGAGGUUGAUCAGAUCCUCAGCAGGGAUCAAUUCUGAUUGAUUAUCAUUUAAAUUACAGAUAUUUGCCAUUUUAUUCUCCCAAUAAAGCAGAUUUUAUUUCACACACA